CAAUUGAUGGAAAGGAGAAUAAGACCUUGGAUUAAUAAGAGAUAAUUGAGUACAUAGGAAGCCGAGCCGACUCUGGUUGAUUUUAUUGUUCGAAGGUGCUGGCUGGCAGUGCGCCGCAGGGCAUUCUAGACGACGUUCAAAUGGUGCUUGACGAAGAAGCUGAAGUGUUUGUUGUGAAAAUGUGGAGACUAUUAAUUUAUGAAAUUGAAGCAAAAAAAUUGGGACUUGUGAAGUGAUAACUUUCUAGUGUUAGUGUAUUAUAUGUAAAUAGAUAAGUAGAACAUCAAGCUGUGAGAAGUGCGAAUGCAACUUCAAUUUUCAUCAACUAUUGAUGGAAUUACGUUUAAUUUUGACCACAAUGGUCAUCGAUUUGUAUUUAAUCAGUACCAGACUAUUAUCAUCAUUCUAGCUUAGUUUUCGACUGUUUGUGUUUAAUAAUGACUUUUAUGAAAUAUAGAAAAGAAAUUGCACAAGCAACACUUUGUGCUCUUUGAUGCCAUCUUUUUCAUUAGAUUGAAUCAUUGAUUGAUUAGAUUUGAUUGAUUGAUUAUCUUGAACAUAGAAUUACUGGCUCUAGCUCAACUCUGCUAUUUUUUUUUAUUCAAUUGAUACCAUCGAUAAAUUAAAAUUAAAUAUUUAUGAGUUUUUCAUUA